UACAGAGGUCCCGAGCGUUGUUCGGAUUCACUGGGCGUAAAGGGUGCGUAGGUGGCUGGGAAAGUUUGAUGUGAAAGCUCAGGGCUUAACCCUGAAAUGGCAUUGAAUACUGCCUGGCUGGAGGUUUGGAGGGGGGACUGGAAUUCUUGGUGUAGCAGUGAAAUGCGUAGAUAUCAAGAGGAACACCAGUGGCGAAGGCGAGUCCCUGGACAACACCUGACACUGAGGCGCGAAAGCCAGGGGAGCAAACGGG
rnacentral:rRNA from 1 species